rnacentral:rRNA from 1 species
UAAAUACUAAUACCAGAUCGAUAGUGCACAAGUACCGUGAGGGAAAGGUGAAAAGAACUGAGGUGAUCAGAGUGAAAUAGAACCUGAAACCAUUUGCUUACAAUCAUUCAGAGCCCUAUGUAGCAAUACAGGGUGAUGGACUGCCUUUUGCAUAAUGAGCCUGCGAGUUGUGGUGUCUGGCAAGGUUAAGCAAACGCGAAGCCGUAGCGAAAGCGAGUCUGAAUAGGGCGCUUAGUCAGAUGCUGCAGACCCGAAACGAAGUGAUCUAUCCAUGAGCAAGUUGAAGCUAGUGUAAGAACUAGUGGAGGACUGAACCCAUAGGCGUUGAAAAGCCCCGGGAUGACUUGUGGAUAGGGGUGAAAGGCCAAUCAAACUUCGUGAUAGCUGGUUCUCUCCGAAAUAUAUUUAGGUAUAGCGUUGUGUCGUAAUAUAAGGGGGUAGAGCACUGAAUGGGCUAGGGCAUACACCAAUGUACCAAACCCUAUCAAACUCCGAAUACCUUAUAUGUAAUCACAGCAGUCAGGCGGCGAGUGAUAAAAUCCGUCGUCAAGAGGGAAACAACCCAGACUACCAGCUAAGGUCCCUAAAUCUUACUUAAGUGGAAAACGAUGUGAAGUUACUUAAACAACCAGGAGGUUGGCUUAGAAGCAGCCAUCCUUUAAAGAAAGCGUAAUAGCUCACUGGUCUAGUGAUUUUGCGCGGAAAAUAUAACGGGGCUAAAGUAAGUACCGAAGCUGUAGACUUGCGCACAACUUAGAUUAUUUAAGUUUAGAAUAUGAGAAACUAAGUUAUAU